rnacentral:tRNA from 1 species
UAGUUUAGUUGGUAAAGCACCGGACUCACAAUCUCGAGGUCGUGGGUUCAAAUCCUGC